rnacentral:lncRNA from 1 species
GGGCGGACCGCAAUGAAGGCGGAAUAUCCAACACACCCCCUCACGCUCAGGCCCAAUGGGGCUGAAGCGUGGACGAUGCGGGAAGCCCAACAAUAGAUCUAGGAUAGGCUCUGAUACCAUGUGAAAACUGAAUAUAUUAUUAUAUUUCAAGUUAUGAAUAAUUUACAAUCACUAAUGUGUUUAUAUAGGCUAUUCUAACCUAAUGGGCUCAUGGGCCAAAUACAAAUUACUAAUAGAAGAUUACUCCUAAUAAUAGAAUAUUUACUAUUUAUUUACAACACUAAAAAAGAAAUUUGAAUUAAAAUCUUUCACCUUUGCCAAUAAGCUGAUCCUGAUUUAUUCUUACUGUCAACAUGUUACAUUUUGUAAAACAUCACUAGUCAAAAGUUAACAUCUCCCUAUUAUUCUUAAAAGUGGGAGAGACAUUGUGUGACCAAAACAAUGCCCUGGCAAUUAGCCAAGAAGCAGCAAGGUCACAGCAACAACACUAAGUGAACUUCGACCGCACUCCAGUUGAAACCACUGAAGGACAGGUAACUAAGGCUUUGCCGCAUCAAU